UGGGGAAUAUUGCACAAUGGGGGAAACCCUGAUGCAGCGACGCCGCGUGGAGGAAGAAGGCCUUCGGGUUGUAAACUCCUGUCGUAAGGGACGAUAGUGACGGUACCUUACAAGAAAGCCACGGCUAACUACGUGCCAGCAGCCGCGGUAAAACGUAGGUGGCAAGCGUUGUCCGGAAUUACUGGGUGUAAAGGGAGCGCAGGCGGGUCUGCAAGUUGGAAGUGAAACCCAUGGGCUCAACCCAUGAACUGCUUUCAAAACUGCGGAUCUUGAGUGGUGUAGAGGUAGGCGGAAUUCCCGGUGUAGCGGUGGAAUGCGUAGAUAUCGGGAGGAACACCAGUGGCGAAGGCGGCCACCUGGACGGCAACUGACGCUGAGGCACGACAGCUGGGGGAGCAAACAGGAUUAGAUACC
rnacentral:rRNA from 1 species